rnacentral:lncRNA from 1 species
GGCGAUAGACUAUAGCGGCCACCAUAAGCGCUCCCGUGGUCUUGGGCUGUUCUGGGCCUCGUGGCCCGAAACGGGCCGUGUGGGUCCAAUAGGCUCGUCGGCCCCAUGGAUAAAAUGUAUUUGAUGUGGUAAGUGUUGUUUGGACUGUGAUGUUUGCAUAGCUGUGGUUGUUUUUGGGCUAAAUGGGCCACACGAGUGUGUGUGGCCACUUGGGUCGAGUAAUGAGC